rnacentral:rRNA from 1 species
GACGAACGCUGGCGGCGUGCUUAACACAUGCAAGUCGAACGGAAAGGCCCUGCUUUUGUGGGGUGCUCGAGUGGCGAACGGGUGAGUAACACGUGAGUAACCUGCCCUUGACUUUGGGAUUACUUCAGGAAACUGGGGCUACUACCGGAUAGGAGCUCCUGCUGCAUGGUGGGGGUUGGAAAGUUUCGGCGGGUGGGGAUGGACUCGCGGCUUAUCAGCUUGUUGGUGGGGUAGUGGCUUACCAAGGCUUUGACGGGUAGCCGGCCUGAGAGGGUGACCGGCCACAUUGGGACUGAGAUACGGCCCAGACUCCUACGGGAGGCAGCAGUGGGGAAUAUUGCACAAUGGGCGGAAGCCUGAUGAAGCAACGCCGCGUGCGGGAUGACGGCCUUCGGGCUGUAAACCGCUUUCGCCUGUGACGAAGCGUGAGUGACGGUAAUGGGUAAAGAAGCACCGGCUAACUACGUG